rnacentral:rRNA from 1 species
AUACGGAGGGGGCUAGCGUUGUUCGGAAUUACUGGGCGUAAAGCGUACGUAGGCGGACUGAUCAGUUGGGGGUGAAAUCCCAGGGCUUAACCCUGGAACUGCCUUCAAUACUGUCAGUCUCGAGUUCGGGAGAGGUGAGUGGAAUUCCUAGUGUAGAGGUGAAAUUCGUAGAUAUUAGGAAGAACACCAGUGGCGAAGGCGGCUCACUGGCCCGAUACUGACGCUGAGGCGCGAAAGCGUGGGGAGCAAACAGGAUUAGAAACCCUAGUAGUCC